UACGUAGGGGGCAAGCGUUGUCCGGAAUCAUUGGGCGUAAAGAGCGUGUAGGCGGUUCAGUAAGUCUGCUGUGAAAGUCCAGGGCUCAACCCUGGGAUGCCGGUGGAUACUGCUGGACUAGAGUACGGAAGAGGCGAGUGGAAUUCCCGGUGUAGCGGUGAAAUGCGCAGAUAUCGGGAGGAACACCUAUUGCGAAGGCAGCUCGCUGGGACGUUACUGACGCUGAGACGCGAAAGCGUGGGGAGCAAACAGG
rnacentral:rRNA from 1 species